UGAGAGGGCAAGAAUACUUGAGGUUGUAUGGUUAAGAGACAAAGCGUACAAGGUGGAUGCCUUGGCAAUCAGAGGCGAAGAAGGACGUGCUAAUCUGCGAAAAGCUCGGAUGAGUCGAUAAGAGGCGUUUAAUCCGAGAUAUCCGAAUGGGGAAACCCGGUGGGUGAAGAACCCACUAUCAUUAUCUGAAUCCAUAGGGUAAUGAGGCGAACCGGGGGAACUGAAACAUCUAAGUACCCCGAGGAAAAGAAAUCAACCGAGAUUUUGUGAGUAGCGGCGAGCGAAAGCGAAAGAGCCUGUUAGUGAUAGCGACAGAGACAGAGGAAUGUGCUGGGAAGCACAGCGAGACAGGGUGAUAGCCCCGUACUCGAAGUCUGGGUCGUGGUACUAAGCUAACGAGAAGUAGGGCGGGACACGUGAUAUCCUGUUUGAAGAAGGGGGGCCCAUCCUCCAAGGCUAAAUACUCCUGAUUGACCGAUAGUGAAGCAGUACUGUGAAGGAAAGGCGAAAAGAACCGGGGUGACCGGAGUGAAAUAGAACCUGAAACCUUGUACGUACAAGCAGUGGGAGCCUGAAAGGGUGACUGCGUACCUUUUGUAUAAUGGGUCAGCGAGUUAUAUUUUGUAGCGAGGUUAACCGGAUAGGGGAGCCGAAGGGAAACCGAGUCUUAACUGGGCGCUUAGUUGCAAGGUAUAGACCCGAAACCCGGUGAUCUAGCCAUGGGCAGGUUGAAGGUUGGGUAACACUAACUGGAGGACCGAACCGACUAAUGUUGAAAAAUUAGCGGAUGACUUGUGGCUGGGGGUGAAAGGCCAAUCAAACCUGGAGAUAGCUGGUUCUCCCCGAAAUCUAUUUAGGUAGAGCCUUGAGCGGACACCUUUGGGGGUAGAGCACUGUUUCGGCUAGGGGGCCAUCCCGGCUUACCAACCCGAUGCAAACUACGAAUACCGAAGAGUGAUACUCAGGAGACACACGGCGGGUGCUAACGUCCGUCGUGGAGAGGGAAACAACCCAGACCGCCGGCUAAGGUCCCAAAGUACUAAUUAAGUGGGAAACGAAGUGGGAAGGCUUAGACAGCUAGGAUGUUGGCUUAGAAGCAGCCAUCAUUUAAAGAAAGCGUAAUAGCUCACUAGUCGAGUCGGCCUGCGCGGAAGAUGUAACGGGGCUAAAAUUAGUCACCGAAGCUGCGGCAUCAGGCGUAUCACUAAUACGCCUUACGAUUAACAACUUGCGAAACGAAGAGAAGCAAGUUGGUCAAGCGCCAAACACGUUGAGACGGAAGUCAUGACGGGAAGUGCGGUUGGGAAUUGAGGAAUAUUAGUGAUACGCCUGUUGGGUAGGGGAGCGUUGUGUAAGCGGAAGAAGGUGUAUUGAGAGGUAUGCUGGACGUAUCACAAGUGCGAAUGCUGACAUAAGUAACGAUAAAACGGGUGAAAAACCCGUUCGCCGGAAGACCAAGGGUUCCUGUCCAACGUUAAUCGGGGCAGGGUGAGUCGGCCCCUAAGGCGAGGCUGAAAAGCGUAGUCGAUGGGAAACGGGUUAAUAUUCCCGUACUUGGUAAAGCUGCGAUGUGGGGACGGAGCAGGUUAGGUUAGCGUGCUGUUGGAUAUGCACGUUUAAGUUGGUAGGUGGGGAGCUUAGGCAAAUCCGGGUUCCUGUUAACACUGAGAGAUGAUGACGAGGCCUUAAGGGGCUGAAGUAACUGAUACCAUACUUCCAGGAAAAGCCACUAAGCGAAAGGCUUUACUAAACCGUACUGAAAACCGACACAGGUGGUCAGGUAGAGAAUACUCAGGCGCUUGAGAGAACUCGGGUGAAGGAACUAGGCAAAAUAGCACCGUAACUUCGGGAGAAGGUGCGCCGGCGUAGAUUGUAAGGGCUUGCCCCUGAAGGUUGAACCGGUCGAAGAUACCAGCUGGCUGCAACUGUUUAUUCGGUGCUGGAAGGUUAAUUGAUGGUGUAAUCGCAAGAGAAGCACCUGAUCGAAGCCCCAGUAAACGGCGGCCGUAACUAUAACGGUCCUAAGGUAGCGAAAUUCCUUGUCGGGUAAGUUCCGACCUGCACGAAUGGCAUAAUGAUGGCCAGGCUGUCUCCACCCGAGACUCAGUGAAAUUGAAAUCGCCGUGAAGAUGCGGUGUACCCGCGGCUAGACGGAAAGACCCCGUGAACCUUUACUAUAGCUUGACACUGAACAUUGAAUUUUGAUGUGUAGGAUAGGUGGGAGACUGAGAAGCGAGCACGCUAGUGCUUGUGGAGUCGACGUUGAAAUACCACCCUUUAACGUUUGAUGUUCUAACGAGGCAUCGAUUACAGGUGUUCGGACAGUGUCUGGUGGGUAGUUUGACUGGGGCGGUCUCCUCCCAAAGGAUAACGGAGGAGCACGAAGGUUUGCUAAUCACGGUCGGACAUCGUGAGGUUAGUGCAAUGGUAUAAGCAAGCUUAACUGCGAGACGGACAGGUCGGGCAGGUACGAAAGUAGGUCAUAGUGAUCCGGUGGUUCUGCAUGGAAGGGCCAUCGCUCAACGGAUAAAAGGUACUCCGGGGAUAACAGGCUGAUACCGCCCAAGAGUUCAUAUCGACGGCGGUGUUUGGCACCUCGAUGUCGGCUCAUCACAUCCUGGGGCUGAAGUAGGUCCCAAGGGUAUGGCUGUUCGCCAUUUAAAGUGGUACGCGAGCUGGGUUUAGAACGUCGUGAGACAGUUCGGUCCCUAUCUGCCGUGGGCGUAGGAGAAUUGAUUGGGGCUGCUCCUAGUACGAGAGGACCGGAGUGGACGCACCGCUGGUGUUCCGGUUGUGUCGCCAGACGCAUAGCCGGGUAGCUAAGUGCGGGAGAGAUAAGUGCUGAAAGCAUCUAAGCACGAAACUUGCCAAGAGAUGAGUUCUCCCAGACUUUAGGUCUGUAAGGGUUGUUUAAGACGAAGACGUGGAUAGGCGUGGUGUGUAAGCGUAGUGAUAUGUUGAGCUAA
rnacentral:rRNA from 1 species